CAGCCGCCGCGGGAAUACGUAGGGUGCGAGCGUUAAUCGGAAUUACUGGGCGUAAAGCGUGCGCAGGCGGUUUUGUAAGACAGGCGUGAAAUCCCCGGGCUUAACCUGGGAACUGCGCUUGUGACUGCACAGCUAGAGUAUGGCAGAGGGGGGUGGAAUUCCACGCGUAGCAGUGAAAUGCGUAGAGAUGUGGAGGAACACCGAUGGCGAAGGCAGCCCCCUGGGCCAAUACUGACGCUCAUGCACGAAAGCGUGGGGAGCAAACAGGAUUAGAUACCCCUGUAGUCCCUGUCUCUUAUAC
rnacentral:rRNA from 1 species